AACGAACGCUGGCGGCAGGCUUAACACAUGCAAGUCGAACGCCCCGCAAGGGGAGUGGCAGACGGGUGAGUAACGCGUGGGAACGUGCCCUUCGCUUCGGAAUAGCCCCGGGAAACUGGGAGUAAUACCGAAUACGCCGUAUUGGGAAAGAUUUAUCGGCGAAGGAUCGGCCCGCGUUAGAUUAGCUAGUUGGCGGUGUAAUGGACCACCAAGGCUACGAUCUAUAGCUGGUCUGAGAGGAUGAUCAGCCACACUGGGACUGAGACACGGCCCAGACUCCUACGGGAGGCAGCAGUGGGGAAUCUUGGACAAUGGGCGCAAGCCUGAUCCAGCCAUGCCGCGUGAGUGAAGAAGGCCUUAGGGUUGUAAAACUCUUUCGCCGGAGGAGAUAAUGACGGUAUCCGGAGAAGAAGCCCCGGCUAACUUCGUGCCAGCAGCCGCGGUAACAC
rnacentral:rRNA from 1 species